AAAACUUUUUCUUUUUAGGUUUUU
rnacentral:snRNA from 1 species